UACGGGGGGGGCAAGCGUUGUUCGGAAUUACUGGGCGUAAAGGGCUCGUAGGCGGCCAACUAAGUCGGAUGUGAAAUCCCCAGGCUUAACCUGGGAACUGCAUCCGAUACUGGAUGGCUUGAAUUCGGGAGAGGGAUGCAGAAUUCCAGGUGUAGCGGUGAAAUGCGUAGAGAUCGGGAAGAACACCAGUGGCGAAAGCGCUCUACUGGGCCUCAUCUGACACUGAGGGACGAAAGCUAGGGGAGCGAAAGGG
rnacentral:rRNA from 1 species